UACGUAGGUGGCAAGCGUUAUCCGGAUUUACUGGGUGUAAAGGGCGUGUAGGCGGGACUGCAAGUCAGAUGUGAAACCCAUGGGCUCAACCCAUGGCCUGCAUUUGAAACUGUAGUUCUUGAGUGAUGGAGAGGCAGGCGGAAUUCCGUGUGUAGCGGUGAAAUGCGUAGAUAUACGGAGGAACACCGGCGGCGAAGGCGGCUUACUGGACGGCAACUGACGUUGAGGCCCGAAAGCGUGGGGAGCGAACAGG
rnacentral:rRNA from 1 species